AGCUUUGCGCAGUGGCAGUAUCGUAGCCAAUGAGGUUUAUCUGAGGCGCGAUUAUUGCUAAUUGAAAACUUUUCCCAGAAGAAACUCCCUCAGGAGAUAACCCCCUAUACCCCACUAAGCCCAGUCUCCUGGGGCAAGAGAUGUUCCAGAUCUUGGUCU
rnacentral:snRNA from 1 species